rnacentral:lncRNA from 1 species
CACAUCCAAGAAACAAACAUUUUAAUGCAGAAAACCAUGAUAAUCUACAAAUGAAUCACAGUGGAGGCCUAUACCGGACCCCCUCAGGAACUGUAAGGACUGGGACGUGGACACUGAACUGACAACACCGUCAGCAUCUGGACAUGCCCAGGCAGCUGUGCUGGCCUCACGGCACCUAGGCCUUGCCCCCUUGCCUUCCACCAUUCAUUCCCCAAUGGGAAGACCAGAAGUUAAGUUCAGAAUAGAAGGGGGAGAGGUGGAGGAUGCUGCUGGCUCUGGUACCUGCCCCAUGACUCAAGGCCAGGCCUACUCCCAGGUCUCUGUCCCUCUCCUCUGCAGGGACCUAGCAGGAACACGAGGAGGGGACCUAGGGAAGGGGUGGCUGGAUGGCAUCUGGCUUGGAGAAGUUGGCAGCCUCAGAUAAGGCAGCUGCUGGAGGAACUGUCAGGUGCAGCUGGGACCUCUCCCCCCAAGAUGACAGCUGAAUUGGCUUCCUGCUGGCUUGGAGCUCAGCACCUCUCACUGGGGCAUACAUGGCUCAGCUGGAGGCUGGCACCAGAGGUAGAAACAAGCCCUUCCCCUCCCCUGCCAGGAAGGGUCAAGGACGGACUGAGGCAGCCCAAGCUCUAGCAAGCCUGGGCUGGCUACACUGUGCUCUCACGACAGGGUGGCAGUGCAGGCCCCAGCCAUCUGCAGGCACUUCCUCUCCAAGCCUGGCAGGGUGAAGAGGAUCCCCCCGCAACGCUGGGGCUCGGCAGCCCCUCCAAACAGGAAAGUGAGGUCUUUGUUGGCAUCCACUGUGGGGGGGCCUUCUCCAAAGAUGCUCACCUUGUCCCAGUGUGC